rnacentral:sRNA from 1 species
AAUGCUGCCCGAUGGCCCUGGGUCCUCGCUGUGGGGCAAUCCGGGCUUGCAGACGAGUUUUAGAAAGAGCAUUUUCGCUACGUAAAGCACAUUCGAUAAAGGAUAUGGAAAAUACUUUGCAGCUGGUGAGAAAUAUUAUACCUCCUCUGUCUUCCACAAAGCACAAAGGGCAAGAUGGAAGAAUAGGCGUAGUUGGAGGCUGUCAGGAGUACACUGGAGCCCCAUAUUUUGCAGCAAUCUCAGCUCUCAAAGUGCGACAGCCCCAAUGCUGUUCGUGAGGUGGAGAAGUGGCUGCCCCGGCUGCAUGCUCUCGUCGUAGGACCUGGCUUGGGUAGAGAUGAUGCGCUUCUCAGAAAUGUCCAGGGCAUUUUGGAAGCGUCAAAGGCCAGGGACAUCCCUGUUGUCAUCGACGCGGUGAGUUGACCUCUCUCCUCCUGGGUCGGACUCCCGGAAGGCCUGUGCAGUGAGCACGGCUCCUUGUUCUGUGCAGGAUGGCCUGUGGCUGGUCGCUCAGCAGCCGGCCCUCAUCCAUGGCUACCGGAAGGCUGUGCUCACUCCCAACCACAUGGAGUUCAGCAGACUGUAUGACGCUGUGCUCAGAGGCCCUAUGGACAGCGAUGACAGCCAUGGAUCUGUGCUAAGACUCAGCCAAGCCCUGGGCAACGUGACGGUGGUCCAGAAAGGAGAGCGCGACAUCCUCUCCAACGGCCAGCAGGUGCUUGUGUGCAGCCAGGAAGGCAGCAGCCGCAGGUGUGGAGGGCAAGGGGACCUCCUGUCGGGCUCCCUGGGCGUCCUGGUACACUGGGCGCUGCUUGCUGGACCAGAGAAAACAAAUGGGUCCAGCCCUCUCCUGGUGGCCGCGUUUGGCGCCUGCUCUCUCACCAGGCAGUGCAACCACCAAGCCUUCCAGAAGCACGGUCGCUCCACCACCACCUCCGACAUGAUCGCCGAGGUGGGGGCAGCCUUCAGCAAGCUCUUCGAAACCUGAGCCCACGCAGACCAGAAGUAAACAGGCACCUUGGACGGGGGAGAGCGUGUGUGUGAUGGGAAAAUCCGGACCCACGCGUGUGCUGAAGGCGCACGGUGCUUGCCAGAUUUUCAACUUGAGCAUAAAUUGGUUGCUGUUGAGAAUUUAAGAAUCUGGAAUAUUGCAACUUUCGGUUAAACUUAAUGCAUGGUUGGAGAUGUUAUGGCGACACUAAACAAAGUAUUCCUGAACUUUCCUUAGCUCCUUGGUAGUAACUGGGAAGACAGAAAUGAAGAAAAUCACAUGAGAAUGAAGAAUUCUUUAGCAGCUCAACAGAAUUUCUUUCUCGGCCUGCUCCCAAAUCGGCGAAGUUUCUACUUGUUACUCUCUCUGCCGACGCCCUUCAUUUCUCCCCCGCUUCCCUUCCCUAGUCUUUCCUCCGGCAGGGAGCUGGGCAGGGGUCCCCGGGUGUCUCCCUGAGUCCCGACUGCACUGACUGGGUCCAUCAGAGGGCUGCUUCGUUCUCCAGCUCAUCUUCUUUUAAAGUGGUGACUAGCUUGGUGGUAUCUGGCUGCUGGUAUUUGGCUUAUUGACAUACUCCAGGGUAAUCAAUGAUGACUUUGUUGGCAACCCUUUUGGAGGCACCAUGGGAACAGAAGGAAACAUGAAUGAUGCUGACCCUUGAGUGUGUGGGUGGGGAGCUCUGAGACGCCUCCUGUCCCACGCUCUCCGGUGUCCCUGUCUACACAGGGGUCCCCAUGAUACCCACCAGCCCCAGCAGGGCAGACCGGACCGGGGACGGGCACGGUGAAGGGCUGCAGCCUGGGGUCUGACGUGGCCCCUAGUGCUGUCUCAGGAGAAGGCUCUGGAGGACUUGGGGCAUGCUGGGCCUGGUGCAGUGAUGGCGCUAAGGAGACCCGGGGAAAGACAGUAUCGUGGUCACGUACGCUUAGGAAGCAGCACAGCCAUGUCCUCAGGGAUGUUCGCGUCCAGUAAAGACACUGGUAACUGCAGUUUCAGCAAACACGCUUCAUGGCAGUGUCGACCUCGGGUUAGCUUCUGUUGUCUUUGUGGAUGGUUUUCCUGGAGCGGCCUGACAUUGACGUGUUCUCUGGUCCCAUGUCUUAGCGGGGCGUGGUACGGUUUCAUGCCUGACGCGUGCAUUAGGGUGUUCUCUUAUACUUUCAGUAGCGUCUUUCCACAGCAAGGGCAAACCCUCCUGGUUCCCUUCAGAGUCUUUUUGGCCUGAUGAUGACUCUUGAGUGAUACCCUGUGAUGCAGACAUGCCCCAGAUGGAUUCUACUUUCUUUAAAACUAGGAACUUUCAAGAUUAAAAAAAAGAUUGUCACUACUAAUUUGACACCUAACUUCAGAAGCUUCACUGUCUACAUGUGAACUUUUCCAGAAAAACUGUGCCAUGGACAUUUUUCCACUGGGGAAUUAACAUCUAAAUUCUGGUAACUAUUAAAAGACAGAUCUGGUUAAUUU